rnacentral:rRNA from 1 species
UAGGGAAUCUUCGGCAAUGGACGAAAGUCUGACCGAGCAACGCCGCGUGAGUGAAGAAGGCUUUCGGAUUGUAAAACUCUGUUGUUAGAGAAGAACAAGGACGUUAGUAACUGAACGUCCCCUGACGGUAUCUAACCAGAAAGCCACGGCUAACUACGUGCCAGCAGCCGCGGUAAUACGUAGGUGGCAAGCGUUGUCCGGAUUUAUUGGGCGUAAAGCGAGCGCAGGCGGUUUGUUAAGUCUGAUGUGAAAGCCCCCGGCUCAACCGGGGAGGGUCAUUGGAAACUGGGAGACUUGAGUGCAGAAGAGGGGGGUGGAAUUCCAUGUGUAGCGGUGAAAUGCGUAGAUAUGUGGAGGAACACCAGUGGCGAAGGCGGCUCUCUGGUCUGUAACUGACGCUGAGGCUCGAAAGCGUGGGGAGCAAACAGG